rnacentral:rRNA from 1 species
GUACACGCUGUGACUAGCAUAUCAAUAAGCGGAGGAAAAGAAACUAACAAGGAUUCCCCUAGUAACGGCGAGUGAAGCGGGAAGAGCUCAAAUUUGAAAUCUUAAAGGGUUUCCCUUUACGAAUUGUAGUUUAAAGAAGUGUUUUCUGUUGAGGUUUUGGUAAAAGUUCUUUGGAAUAGGACAUCAUAGAGGGUGAGAAUCCCGUAUUUGACCUUUACUUUCAACUUUGUGAUACACUUUCAAAGAGUCGGAUUGUUUGGGAAUGCAGUCCAAAAUGGGUGGUAAAUUUCAUCUAAAGCUAAAUAUUGGCGAGAGACCGAUAGCGAACAAGUACCGUGAGGGAAAGAUGAAAAGAACUUUGAAAAGAGAGUUAAACAGUACGUGAAAUUGUCAAAAGGGAAGCGUUUGACACCAGUGUUGUUUUUCUGAAAAUCAAUUAAAGAACUGUUUAUGCUAAGUUGUUUAGACUUUAUCAGCUAACUGUUUAGUUUUGAGCUUUUCUUUAAUGCACUUUUCAGUUAACAAGUCAACAUCAAUUUCUUUUGCUGUAAAAAAGCUUGAGGAAGGUGGCUUGAGAUUCGUCUUAAGUGUUUAUAGCCUCUUGCCUAUGCAGUCGGAGAGAUUGAGGUCUGCAGCGUAGAUCCUUCGGGGCUAAAUGCAUUUGUGCUAAGUUUAUAGCAUUUUAUAGACAACUUGUUGACUAUGAUUUGUCUUGUAGCUUACUCGCUUAUGUUAUUUUACCUACGCUUAGGAUGUUGACGCGCGUGUGUGCGUG